CCAGAGAAUUUAGCAGAGAUGCUUUAGUGCCUUCGGGAACUCUGAGACAGGUGCUGCAUGGCUGUCGUCAGCUCGUGUUGUGAAAUGUUGGGUUAAGUCCCGCAACGAGCGCAACCCCCUAUCCUUUGUUGCCAGCGAUUCGGUCGGGAACUCAAAGGAGACUGCCGGUGAUAAACCGGAGGAAGGUGGGGAUGACGUCAAGUCAUCAUGGCCCUUACGAGUAGGGCUACACACGUGCUACAAUGGCGCAUACAAAGAGAAGCGACCUCGCGAGAGCAAGCGGACCUCAUAAAGUGCGUCGUAGUCCGGAUUGGAGUCUGCAACUCGACUCCAUGAAGUCGGAAUCGCUAGUAAUCGUAGAUCAGAAUGCUACGGUGAAUACGUUCCCGGGCCUUGUACACACCGCCCGUCACACCAUGGGAGUGGGUUGCAAAAGAAGUAGAUAGCUUAACCUUCGGGAGGGCGUUUACCACUUUGUGAUUCAUGACUGGGGUGAAGUCGUAACAAGGUAAGCGUAGCGAG
rnacentral:rRNA from 1 species